rnacentral:rRNA from 1 species
UACCAGCACCCCGAGUGGUCGGGACGAUUAUUGGGCCUAGAGCAUCCGUAGCCGGUUCUGCAAGUCCCCCGUUAAAUCCACCUGCUCAACAGAUGGGCUGCGGAGGAUACUAUAGAGCUAGGAGGCGGGGAGAGGCAAGCGGUACUUAGUGGGUAGGGGUAAAAUCCGUUGAUCCAUUGAAGACCACCAGUGGCGAAGGCGGCUUGCCAGAACGCACUCGACGGUGAGGGAUGGAAAGCUGGGGGAGCAAACCGG